UACGGAGGAUGCAAGCGUUAUCCGGAAUUAUUGGGCGUAAAGCGUCCGUAGGUGGCUAAUCAAGUCUGCUGUCAAAGCGUGGAGCUUAACUCCAUAACGGCGGUGGAAACUGAUGAGCUAGAGUGCGGUAGGGGUAGCAGGAAUUCCCAGUGUAGCGGUGAAAUGCGUAGAGAUUGGGAAGAACACCAGCGGCGAAAGCGUGCUACUGGGUCUGCACUGACACUGAGGGACGAAAGCUAGGGGAGCGAAAGGG
rnacentral:rRNA from 1 species